rnacentral:rRNA from 1 species
GACGAACGCUGGCGGCGUGCCUAAUACAUGCAAGUCGAACGCUUCUUUCCUCCCGAGUGCUUGCACUCAAUUGGAAAGAGGAGUGGCGGACGGGUGAGUAACACGUGGGUAACCUACCCAUCAGAGGGGGAUAACACUUGGAAACAGGUGCUAAUACCGCAUAACAGUUUAUGCCGCAUGGCAUAAGAGUGAAAGGCGCUUUCGGGUGUCGCUGAUGGAUGGACCCGCGGUGCAUUAGCUAGUUGGUGAGGUAACGGCUCACCAAGGCCACGAUGCGUAGCCGACCUGAGAGGGUGAUCGGACACACUGGGACUGAGACACGGCCCAGACUCCUACGGGAGGCAGCAGUAGGGAAUCUUCGGCAAUGGACGGAAGUCUGACCGAGCAACGCCGCGUGAGUGAAGAAGGUUUUCGGAUCGUAAAACUCUGUUGUUAGAGAAGAACAAGAACGUUAGUAACUGAACGUCCCCUGACGGUAUCUAACCAGAAAGCCACGGCUAACUACGUGCCAGCAGCCGCGGUAA